AAUUACCUUCGGGGCAGGGUGAGAGAGGAACAAUAAAAGUUCCUCUCAAUUCCCGACCGGCAGUGAUGGUAUCUCCAAAUAUGGGGAUACCUAAGCCUGCGAGCAAGCCUAAAGGGCUUGCAGAUCUGGUGAGAAUCCAGAGCCGACGGUAUAGUCCGGAUGGGAGAAGGUAAUU
rnacentral:ncRNA from 2 species